rnacentral:lncRNA from 1 species
CUAGAAUGAUCUCCAGAUUUCUUUCUACAUUUCUUUUCCCUGAACACUACUGUGGAGGUAUGUUUCUUGUGCCUGAAGUCAUAGUCUUACUUAUGACUGGGGGAGGUGAGCACCCUUUUCUGUGAUCAAACUCUUGAUCUCCCACUAGAUCACUGUGUGACUACUCCUGUAUGCCCCUGGCAUAUCCAUUGGACUCAUAGACAGCAUUUAUCCAGAAAAAGCAGUAGGAAUAUUAACAGCAGCAGAGCAACAUGGUGCAAGAGAAGUCUACUGGAAGGAAACUGCUGUCAUAAGGUUGUGGAAGAUAACACCUACAGAUGGAGAGGAAUAUCCUUUGUGCUCUCUACUCUCAACUAGGAUGUGACCAGUACCCUGGCUACUCCCUUCUGACUCUGACUAGCUAUGUCCCACCAGUUAGCAUCAAACUCUGGUAAAUGAUCCGGUACUAGUGCUUUGAAAAUCCAUUUGUAGUUAAUAAAAGUAAAUUUUG